rnacentral:tRNA from 1 species
UUUGACUUGGCAGAAUAAUGCGUUUGAUUUAGGAUCACUUAAUAAUACAUAGUAUUAGUC